rnacentral:rRNA from 1 species
GGCGGUACUCUGACCGUGCAAAGGUAGCAUAAUCAUUUGCCUUAUAAUUGAAGGCUAGUAUGAAUGGUUUGACGAGAAUUAAGCUGUCUCUUCUCAAUUAAAUAUAAUUUUAUUAACAGGUGAAGAAGCCUGUGUGUUAUUGAAAGACAAGAAGACCCUAUCGAGCUUUAAGGAAUUCAAUAGAUUUAUUAUAUAUUUAUAUAAAUAUAAAACUAUUGAAAACUUUGGUUGGGGCGACUGAGGAACAAAAAAAGCUUCCUUUAUAUCUUUAGAACCUACAAGUAUUGAUCCAAUAAAUUUGAUUAAAGGAAUUAGUUACCGUAGGGAUAACAGCAUAAUCUUCUUUGAGAGUUCUUAUCGAAAAGGGGGUUUGUGACCUCGAUGUUGGACCAGAAUACCCAGAAGAUGUAGCCGUCUUCAAUGGUUGGUCUGUUCGACCAUUAAAUUCUACGUGAA